rnacentral:rRNA from 1 species
UACGUAGGCAGCGAGCGUUGUUCGGAAUUACUGGGCGUAAAGAGUGUGUAGGCGGUGCUCCCAGUCUGUUGUGAAAUCUCCCGGCUUAACUGGGAGGGUGCAGCGGAAACUAGAGUGCUUGAGGUUGGGAGAGGGAUGCGGAAUUCCAGGUGUAGCGGUGAAAUGCGUAGAUAUCUGGAGGAACACCGGUGGCGAAGGCGGCAUCCUGGACCAAUUCUGACGCUGAGGAGCGAAAGCCAGGGGAGCAAACGGG